GGGGUUGUGGCUCAGUGGUAGAGUGCUCACCUACCACGUGCGAGGCCCUGGGUUUGAUCCUCAGCACCACA
rnacentral:tRNA from 1 species